UACGUAGGGGGCAAGCGUUGUCCGGAAUCAUUGGGCGUAAAGAGCGUGUAGGCGGUCCGUUAAGUCGGCUGUGAAAGUCCAGGGCUCAACCCUGGGAUGCCGGCCGAUACUGGCGGACUAGAGUCCGGAAGAGGUGAGUGGAAUUCCCAGUGUAGCGGUGAAAUGCGUAGAUAUUGGGAGGAACACCAGUGGCGAAGGCGGCUACCUGGACCGGUUCUGACGCUGAUGCGCGAAAGCAUGGGGGAGCAAACAGG
rnacentral:rRNA from 1 species